rnacentral:rRNA from 1 species
GGAAUAUUGGUCAAUGGACGAGAGUCUGAACCAGCCAAGUAGCGUGAAGGAUGACGGCCCUAUGGGUUGUAAACUUCUUUUGUUUGGGAAUAAAGUGCUCUACGUGUAGAGUUUUGUAUGUACCUUACGAAUAAGCAUCGGCUAAUUCCGUGCCAGCAGCCGCGGUAAUACGGAAGAUGCGAGCGUUAUCCGGAUUUAUUGGGUUUAAAGGGAGCGUAGGCGGACCUUUAAGUCAGCGGUAAAAUGUCAAUGCCCAACAUUGGCCCGCCGUUGAUACUGUUGGUCUUGAAUACACACAAGGAAGGUGGAAUUCGUUGUGUAGCGGUGAAAUGCUUAGAUAUGACGAAGAACUCCGAUUGCGAAGGCAGCCUUCUGGGGUGCGAUUGACGCUGAGGCUCGAAAGUGCGGGUAUCAAACA